rnacentral:rRNA from 1 species
UACGAAGGGGGCUAGCGUUGCUCGGAAUCACCGGGCGUAAAGGGUGCGUAGGCGGGUCUUUAAGUCAGGGGUGAAAUCCUGGAGCUCAACUCCAGAACUGCCUUUUGAUACUGAAGAUCUUGAGUUCGGGAGAGGUGAGUGGAACUGCGAGUGUAGAGGUGAAAUUCGUAGAUAUUCGCAAGAACACCAGUGGCGAAGGCGGCUCACUGGCCCGAUACUGACGCUGAGGCACGAAAGCGUGGGAAGCAAACAGG